GUUGCUGCGUUGUGUCACUGUGUUCUUAAGCAGAAAAUUCAACUUAGAGUCAGCAUGAUACAUCGAAGGGCAUCAAUUUCAUUAGAGUCAUCUUUUAAUGUUAGUGUCUUGUGGAAAUACACAAUCAGGAAGAAUUCCCCAAAUUUGUGUUUCCUGUGCUGAGCUGUACUUGGAAGACACUGGAGACAAACUGAAUAAGAGGGGAAAACCUGAGACCUGUUGAGAUCCGCGCGGCUGACAGAGCUGGGAGCCAGCAGGCGCUGCAGAGCUGUGCAGUGUUCAGCUGAAACUUGAUCACACGUCAUUGUGCAGUGAACAGUGUUUAUAGGCUUGACUUCCGCCAUCUGGUACCCACCACCCGCCCUGACCUUGACCUGGGCCGUCGGACGCCCCCGCGGCCCUCGGGAAUUCCUGCGGACACUCCCGGGACCCCCGGAGCGAACCCCGGAACACGCAGGGACCACGGGCCGCCGACGCCUCCGCGCAAAGUGAUUUCUCGGAAAGCCGAGCGCUUCGAAGAAGGCGGGCCCGGCGCGCCGCGCCCCGGGGGCGGCCUGUCCCGCCCUCCA